CCUACGGGAGGCAGCAGUGGGGAAUAUUGCACAAUGGGCGCAAGCCUGAUGCAGCCAUGCCGCGUGUGUGAAGAAGGCCUUCGGGUUGUAAAGCACUUUCAGCGGGGAGGAAGACGGUGAGGUUAAUAACCUCAUCGAUUGACGUUACCCGCAGAAGAAGCACCGGCUAACUCCGUGCCAGCAGCCGCGGUAAUACGGAGGGUGCAAGCGUUAAUCGGAAUUACUGGGCGUAAAGCGCACGCAGGCGGUCUGUCAAGUCGGAUGUGAAAUCCCCGGGCUCAACCUGGGAACUGCAUUCGAAACUGGCAGGCUAGAGUCUUGUAGAGGGGGGUAGAAUUCCAGGUGUAGCGGUGAAAUGCGUAGAGAUCUGGAGGAAUACCGGUGGCGAAGGCGGCCCCCUGGACAAAGACUGACGCUCAGGUGCGAAAGCGUGGGGAGCAAACAGGAUUAGAUACCCGAGUAGUC
rnacentral:rRNA from 1 species